CCUGGGAGAAAGCAGCCAGGAGUAAGAGCCACCACCUAGUCACAAGGCGUGGAAAAUCACACAUUCAGGAACAUAAUUGAAUGUAAAACAUGCCUCCCACCCUUCACCCAGACUUCUCUGAAGUUGGGCUUUUGACAUCGAUUUUCCCAGCUCAGGAUCAAGUAUAGCAUCGCUGAAGAUCGCCAAACUGCUGUUUAGACAUUUUAAAGAUGCAAUUUGAGUUCCAGUCAGGGGAAAGGGGUGGAUAAAAGAGAUUAUAUGAUAAUGAUAUGGCUGUGGAAGUCUGUCGAAUAAAGUGCAUUUUCUCUGG